ACGUGAUAUGCAAAUCUGGAAAAAACUGGAGCCAUUUUGUGAAGCAACAUGUGAAGACGGUGGAAAGAGGUAAGCUUAACUUUCUAUAAACUAAGCAAAAUAUUUGAUUUUGAGGUUUUGACAUUAAUAAACACUUGUUUGUAGCGUUAGGUGAAGAUAUUUUCUGAAACGCAAAGAGACGAAGACGCUGAAAAGAGUUCAGAGCAAGAAAGUGUUGCAAAGGGGGCAGCAUGAAGGAAGUGUCCUGUUGGAAGUGAACUUUCAUUUGUCAAUUUGACACAUUUGUUGUACAUUCAUGAUGUGUGGUUUUAGGCUUCACCAUUGCAUUGCAGCCUGUUUCAAAAAAUAAAGUGAAAUGCUUUAAUUUG